rnacentral:rRNA from 1 species
AGAGCGAACGCUGGCGGCAGGCCUAACACAUGCAAGUCGAGCGCUCGUAGCAAUACGAGAGCGGCAGACGGGAGAGUAACACGUGGGAACGUACCCUUCAGUUCGGAACAACCAAGGGAAACUUUGGCUAAUACCGGAUACGUCCGUAAGGAGAAAGAUUUAUCGCUGAAGGAUCGGCCCGCGUCUGAUUAGCUAGUUGGUGAGGUAAUGGCUCACCAAGGCGACGAUCAGUAGCUGGUCUGAGAGGAUGAUCAGCCUCACUGGGACUGAGACACGGCCCAGACUCCUACGGGAGGCAGCAGUGGGGAAUAUUGGACAAUGGGCGCAAGCCUGAUCCAGCCAUGCCGCGUGGGUGAUGAAGGCCCUAGGGUUGUAAAGCCCUUUCGGCGGGGAAGAUAAUGACGGUACCCGCAGAAGAAGCCCGGCUAACUUCGUGCCAGCAGCCGC